CCUACGGGAGGCAGCAGUGGGGGAUAUUGGACAAUGGUGGAAACCCUGAUGCAGCGAAGCCGCGUGAGUGAAGAAGUAUUUCGGUAUGUAAAGCUCUAUCAGCAGGGAAGAAAAUGACAGUACCUGACCCAGAAGCACCGGCUAACUACGUGCCAGCCGCCGCGGUGAUACGUCGGGGGCAAGCGUUAUACGGAUUAAAUGGGUGUAAAGGGGGCGUAGACGGUUAUGUAAGUCGGGAGGGAAAGCCCGGGGCCCAACCCCGGGACCGCUUUUGAAACUGGGUAACUGGAGUACAGGAGGGGGAUGCGGAAUUCCUGGUGGAGCGGUGAAAUGCGUAGAUAUCAGGAGGAACACCGGCGGCGAAGGCGGCCUGCUGGACUGACACUGACGCUGAGGCUCGAAAGCGUGGGGAGCAAACAGGAUUAGAUACCCCAGUAGUC
rnacentral:rRNA from 1 species